UACUAUCCAGAUUUGCACAACAGAUUAAAAAUAAUCAAAGUGUUAUUAGCAAGAACAACUAUAGAUCUUAAAAGAGUAUAUAAGAACGAUGACAUUCUUUUACACGCUGCUGUUCUUGGAGGAAAUAUCGAAUUAGUCAAAUUGUUAUUAGAAAGAACAAUUCAAGAUCCUACUGAAAAAAAUCAGGGCAAUGACACUGUUUUACAUUCUGCUGUUCUUGGAGGAGAUGUCGAAAUAGUCAAAUUUUUAUUAGAGAGAACAUGUAUAGAUCCGACUGAAAAAAAUCAGAACGGUGACACUCUUUUACAUUUAGCUGUUCAAAGACAAAAUAUAAAAUUAGUGAAAUUGUUAUUAGAAAGAACAACCAUAGAUCUAGCGGAAAAAAA